UGGACUGUUGUGUGUUCAUUUUCAAUUGUUUCCAGAAUUUUUUAAAUUUCUUCCUUGGUCUCAUUAUUAACCAACUCAUUGUUUAUUAACAUGGUUAUUUAGCCUCCAGGUCUU